rnacentral:rRNA from 1 species
UUAAGCGACUAAGCGUACACGGUGGAUGCCCUGGCAGUCAGAGGCGAUGAAGGACGUGCUAAUCUGCGAAAAGCGUCGGUAAGGUGAUAUGAACCGUUACAGCCGGCGAUGUCCGAAUGGGGAAACCCAGUGCAAUUCGUUGCACUAUCGUUAACUGAAUACAUAGGUUAACGAGGCGAACCGGGGGAACUGAAACAUCUAAGUACCCCGAGGAAAAGAAAUCAACCGAGAUUCCCCCAGUAGCGGCGAGCGAACGGGGAGCAGCCCAGAGUCUGAAUCAGCUUGUGUGUUAGUGGAACGGUCUGGAAAGUCCGACGGUACAGGGUGAUAGUCCCGUACACCAAAAUGCACAGGCUGUGAACUCGAAGAGUAGGGCGGGACACGUGGUAUCCUGUCUGAAUAUGGGGGGACCAUCCUCCAAGGCUAAAUACUCCUGACUGACCGAUAGUGAACCAGUACCGUGAGGGAAAGGCGAAAAGAACCCCGGCGAGGGGAGUGAAAAAGAACCUGAAACCGUGUACGUACAAGCAGUGGGAGCACCUUCGGGUGUGACUGCGUACCUUUUGUAUAAUGGGUCAGCGACUUAUAUUCUGUAGCAAGGUUAACCGUAUAGGGGAGCCGCAGGGAAACCGAGUCUUAACUGGGCGUUAAGUUGCAGGGUAUAGACCCGAAACCCGGUGAUCUAGCCAUGGGCAGGUUGAAGGUUGGGUAACACUAACUGGAGGACCGAACCGACUAAUGUUGAAAAAUUAGCGGAUGACUUGUGGCUGGGGGUGAAAGGCCAAUCAAACCGGGAGAUAGCUGGUUCUCCCCGAAAGCUAUUUAGGUAGCGCCUCGUGAACUCAUCUUCGGGGGUAGAGCACUGUUUCGGCUAGGGGGUCAUCCCGACUUACCAACCCGAUGCAAACUACGAAUACCGAAGAAUGUUAUCACGGGAGACACACGGCGGGUGCUAACGUCCGUCGUGAAGAGGGAAACAACCCAGACCGCCAGCUAAGGUCCCAAAGUCAUGGUUAAGUGGGAAACGAUGUGGGAAGGCACAGACAGCCAGGAUGUUGGCUUAGAAGCAGCCAUCAUUUAAAGAAAGCGUAAUAGCUCACUGGUCGAGUCGGCCUGCGCGGAAGAUGUAACGGGGCUAAACCAUGCACCGAAGCUGCGGCAGCGACACUAUGUGUUGUUGGGUAGGGGAGCGUUCUGUAAGCCUGCGAAGGUGUGCUGUGAGGCAUGCUGGAGGUAUCAGAAGUGCGAAUGCUGACAUAAGUAACGAUAAAGCGGGUGAAAAGCCCGCUCGCCGGAAGACCAAGGGUUCCUGUCCAACGUUAAUCGGGGCAGGGUGAGUCGACCCCUAAGGCGAGGCCGAAAGGCGUAGUCGAUGGGAAACAGGUUAAUAUUCCUGUACUUGGUGUUACUGCGAAGGGGGGACGGAGAAGGCUAUGUUAGCCGGGCGACGGUUGUCCCGGUUUAAGCAUGUAGGCUGAUUGUCCAGGCAAAUCCGGAUAAUCAAGGCUGAGGUGUGAUGACGAGGCACUACGGUGCUGAAGUAACAAAUGCCCUGCUUCCAGGAAAAGCCUCUAAGCAUCAGGUAACAUUAAAUCGUACCCCAAACCGACACAGGUGGUCAGGUAGAGAAUACCAAGGCGCUUGAGAGAACUCGGGUGAAGGAACUAGGCAAAAUGGUGCCGUAACUUCGGGAGAAGGCACGCUGGUGUGUAGGUGAAGUCCCUGCGGAUGGAGCUGAGACCAGUCGAAGAUACCAGCUGGCUGCAACUGUUUAUUAAAAACACAGCACUGUGCAAACACGAAAGUGGACGUAUACGGUGUGACGCCUGCCCGGUGCCGGAAGGUUAAUUGAUGGGGUUAUCCGUAAGGAGAAGCUCUUGAUCGAAGCCCCGGUAAACGGCGGCCGUAACUAUAACGGUCCUAAGGUAGCGAAAUUCCUUGUCGGGUAAGUUCCGACCUGCACGAAUGGCGUAAUGAUGGCCAGGCUGUCUCCACCCGAGACUCAGUGAAAUUGAACUCGCUGUGAAGAUGCAGUGUACCCGCGGCAAGACGGAAAGACCCCGUGAACCUUUACUAUAGCUUGACACUGAACAUUGAGCCUUGAUGUGUAGGAUAGGUGGGAGGCUUUGAAGCGUGGACGCCAGUCUGCGUGGAGCCAACCUUGAAAUACCACCCUUUAAUGUUUGAUGUUCUAACGUUGGCCCCUUACCGGGGUUGCGGACAGUGUCUGGUGGGUAGUUUGACUGGGGCGGUCUCCUCCCAAAGCGUAACGGAGGAGCACGAAGGUUAGCUAAUCCUGGUCGGACAUCAGGAGGUUAGUGCAAUGGCAUAAGCUAGCUUGACUGCGAGCGUGACGGCGCGAGCAGGUGCGAAAGCAGGUCAUAGUGAUCCGGUGGUUCUGAAUGGAAGGGCCAUCGCUCAACGGAUAAAAGGUACUCCGGGGAUAACAGGCUGAUACCGCCCAAGAGUUCAUAUCGACGGCGGUGUUUGGCACCUCGAUGUCGGCUCAUCACAUCCUGGGGCUGAAGUAGGUCCCAAGGGUAUGGCUGUUCGCCAUUUAAAGUGGUACGCGAGCUGGGUUUAGAACGUCGUGAGACAGUUCGGUCCCUAUCUGCCGUGGGCGCUGGAGAAUUGAGGGGGGCUGCUCCUAGUACGAGAGGACCGGAGUGGACGCAUCACUGGUGUUCGGGUUGUCAUGCCAAUGGCACUGCCCGGUAGCUAAAUGCGGAAGAGAUAAGUGCUGAAAGCAUCUAAGCACGAAACUUGCCCCGAGAUGAGUUCUCCCUGAGACUUUAAGUCUCCUGAAGGAACGUUAAAGACGAUGACGUUGAUAGGCCGGGUGUGUAAGCGCAGCGAUGCGUUGAGCUAACCGGUACUAAUGAACCGUGAGGCUUAACCU